rnacentral:SRP_RNA from 1 species
GCCGGGCGCGGUGGCUUACGCCUGUAAUCCCAGCGAUUUGGGAGGCCGAGGCGGGUGGAUCACCUGAGGUCAGGAGUUCGAGACCAGCCUGACCAACAUGGUGAAACCCUGUCUCUA